UCAAGAGGCAGCAAUUAGCUGAAACUGGAAGAGACGUUUUUCCAGAUAUAAACCUGGCUUUAUAUUUAGACAGCCUCUUUUGCUGUUAUUUAUCUGGAGGCUGUUUGCAUGUUAGAUCCAGUAAAUCCUUUCCUUCAUGGCUCUGUACCUGUCAGGCUCUCCCUGGCAUUGCUGCCAAGGGCUCCUCAAGGGCUGAGGUCACCCAGCAGCCUCCUGUGGCACCUGGCCCUGCCUGGCACUGGGUCCUGCCCCGUGGUGGGUGGUGGCAUCUCCCCACACCACCAACUCAGUGUGCUCCUGCUGUGGCACAGGGAGGCAGCAGGGGUUCUCUCUGAAAGGACAACAGCAAGUGACUUCUGGUGGCAUCACCUCGGACAAAAAAGGGCAACAUGGAUUUUCAUUAAAAAGAAAACCUGAGCAUCUGAUAUUCCUGUCGUGCAAUCAGUGACCUGUGCCUGGAGAAGGGAAAGACACGUGGAAAGGGCCACUGGUGCUGAGAAUGGCACUGCUGACUAAAACACGGCAGGGAGGAAAACUGCACUCCUGAAUUUCACACCUGGAAACCUGCCAAGCAAGAAGGAACCUCAACCAGCCUCGUUGCUCUCCUGUUGAGGCGCCGCCUGCUCGCUCACAUUUGCCAGGAAAUUCAUCGCUUUUGAUCAGAUUUAAUGGGAUGCUGCUGCCCAUAAAAGAUCAUCUCAUGACUUCACCUUCAAAGAGCUCAUCUCUCCUUUUCACACACUUGAGCAUGUUUUGUGUGGCUCCUUCCAACCCCCCAUGCCUUGGACUUGGCCUCUUGGGCAGAGCUGGCUGGGAGUGUUCAGGGAGAGAUAAGUGUCUAUAAAUGUACGAAAAGGGCAGGGUGAGGAAUCACAGCCUUCUGGUUUGUUUUCUGUAAUACAAUAUGGAAAGCGCUAACAGGAUUAGCCUUUUGUGAUGAGUGAUAACAAUAUAUUAAAAACAAAUGUUAAUAGGCAGCAUGAAAUUGCUAACAAAGUAGAAAUUUGCUAAUAAAAUUCAAUGGACCUAAUUUAAACUUUGAUAAUGUAUCUAGCCUUGAGAGCCCUUUUCCACAGAGCCAGCAGUGGGCUGGUGAAAGAGGAGGAUUUUUGGCGCAGAGCCCAAGGCUGCCAUGCUUCUGAAUUCUUACACUGCUUUUCCUGCUGCAAAGUGACCCCUGGCACCUGGGAGGUGAAAAUUUCCAGGUUUUCAAAUAACCCAAGAAGGGUUGGACACUGUCUGAAUGUGUCACCUGUGUGAAAACCAACGUGAGGAAGUACCUGCCCAACCCUCCCCGAGACAUGGGGCUCUCUGGUGAUGCAGUGGCAACAGGGAUGCCUGGAAAAUUCAGCUUUGGGGCACAUCUUGUUUACUUCUGUGUAUUGCCCUGGACAGCUCUGAAAUUAUCCAGGCUCCCAAUGAAUCUGCAGAGCGGGGAGGAGGAAUCAGAAAUCUGGGUGAGCUGGGGGUGAGGAGACUGGGGUCAGAGCAGGGUGGGAUCCAGGCACAGCAAAUGCUGAUGCCUGCCCUGCAGCACCCUGGGUUCUAACUCUG